rnacentral:rRNA from 1 species
UGGUGGAGUGAUUUGUUUGGUUGAUUCCGUGAACGAACGAGAUCUCAACCUCUUAAUAGGAGAAGGACCAUUAGUGCCUCCCGGGCUUGCCCGGGCUGGUCGGCCCUCGCUCCCUUUUAGAGGAACACCGCAUGUCUAACAGUGCGAUGGAGCGAGCCAAUAGCA